AAUCAAGCCUGGGCAAUGGCGGGUGCCCCUCCCCCAGCCUCGCUGCCGCCUUGCAGUUUGAUCUCAGACUGCUGUGCUAGCAAUCAACGAGACUCUGUGGGCGUAGGACCCUCCGAGCCAGGUGUGGGAUAUAAUCUCGUGGAGCGCCAUUUUUUAAGCCAGUCGGAAAAGCGCAGUAUUCGGGUGGGAGUGACCCGAUUUUCCAGGUGCCAUCCGUCACCCCUUUCUUUGACUCAGAAAGGGAACUCCCUGACCCCUUGCGCUUCCCAAGUGAGGCAAUGCCUCACCCUGCUUCGGCUCGCGCAUGGUGCGCGCACCCACUGACCUGCGCCCACUGUCUGGCACUCCCUAGUGAGAUGAACCCCGUACCUCAGAUGGAAAUGCAGAAAUCACCGUCUUCUGCGUCGCCCACGCUGGAAGCUGUAGACCGGAACUGUUCCUAUUCGGCCAUCUUGGCUCCUCCUCGCAGGUACAGAAUCAAGCAAGAAUUGGCUAGGUGAUUCUUCUGCUACACCUGGCUAGGCUUGGCCGAAGCUCAGGGACAGCUCCUCUCAUAUGCCUGGUACCUUGUGGAUAUCUGGAAAACUGAAUUCAUCAAGGCCCCUUUCCCUCAAUUGUUUUGCUUAUUGGUGUUUAAUUAAAAACCAAACAACUUUUCCUAUUAACUUGAUGCUACUUAUUAAUUGAAAUGAGGAGACUGACUCUGGAUAUUGGGAAAAUUUAUGGGCACAUACAGAGGAAAAGACAUGUGGGGACAUAAUGAGAGGACAGCCAUCUGCAAGCCAAGAAGAGAAUCCUCACCAGAAACCAACUUGACUGGAAUCUUGAUCUUGAACUUCUUGCUUCCAGAAUUAUGAGAAAAUAAAUUGUUGUUUAACCCA
ensembl:lncRNA LINC02428 long intergenic non-protein coding RNA 2428